UAAAAUAAAGACAAGUCAUGAUGAGUCUUGUAAUUAAUUGUAAUUGCUAUGCGCGUAAAAAUGAAUCAUUACGCGUGAUUCUAUGAAUCACUGCGAUUCUUCUGAAUAAAACAGUUCAUACUAUAGAAAUAGUAUUAUUCCUCGACUGCCAACUUUCCACUUAGUAUUCAUCGUCAACCUGCAAAAUCUCCCACGUAUCGGACUGUUCUUCGUGAUUUCUACACUGAUUAAUCGAGGCGGUAAUUUAAUCGAGACUAAAAGAGCGAAUCUGUGCGCAAAUACGCAUAUCGCGAGUGACUCUUUCGGAACAUAUUUCUAUCUCGCUGUUUCGCAACGUGAUAAUACGCAUUUGCAUGACGAAUGCUAGUGAUAAUUCUGGAGAAUUUUCGCCGAGAUCUCAGUGCCAUUGCCGGUAGCAAUCCUUCCGUAAAAACCUUCGAAACAAUUUCAUGCACAGAUACGUAUGCAGCACGUAUAUGUCGCUUCGUGGCAAUGUUCAUUCAGAAUUCUCUGCGAGCAACUACGUAUCUCGAUGUCAUAGUCCAAAACAACAGGAUACAGUUUCCAACGAAUAUUUCCUAUUCUGAAAAGAAACAAAUCCAGAAAAGAUGUAGUUCAGAAAAUUGUUUGGACAACUUUCCACGAUACGUGUCACUCGAGAAUUCGCAAUUUCAUAUUCAUUGCACGAAUAACAUUUUAUUGACUGUAAUGAAAAAAUUUACGAGGAUCGAGGUUAUACUUAUAAUGUAACUAAUAUGUUAGAUAAUAAAUGUCAUACGCUUACUACAUCGUAGCUACAAAAAGUAUUUACUCGUUAAUUAAUAUCCAUUAAUUUAUUGGUAUCCGUUAAUCCGCCGACGUCGAUUAAUAUGCAAGUAUCGGUUAAUUAGAUCCAAACAUGUCCAAAUUGUCAUUGGAGAAUAAAAUCCAAAAAUUAACAAGCGUACAAAGACGUCUUGUUCUCGCUGUACGCUGUCUGUUUACUCGUUACGUAACGCAAUUCCGUAUCGAUGUUUAUUUCGUUUAUCAAUCAUUAUAUCAAACAUGAAAAGGCGCCACUGUGCCAUCCGAGUAUUCUAUUGCAUAAAACAGGUGCAUAACGAAAAGAAAGAUCUGUCGUAGGAUUCCUGGAAGUCGAGGCAAAUUUUCAAUGCGAAGCGUCGAAUGCGUUUCGCGCGUAAAAGUGGUCGAGCAGUUGACUUUCGUGGAAUAUGUUCGAUAAUAGAGUCGUGAGAUUCGUGUGCAAUACGGUGUAUCAUAUCGAAGGUCUUGCGAAUUGCACGUGUGUUGGUCUGUGUACAGUGAACGUGUGUUUUCGUGUGACUCAUCGCUAAUACAUGAACGAAGAAAAUAUUCGGUACGUAGGCACUCCAACUGGAAAGAAAAAAAAAAACAUGAUUCACUGGCCGCAUAAUCGAAAAUCGUCGAGACGCGCAGAACGCGGACAGCAAAUAAAAAUGCGUGCUUCAAACUCGCAGCGGUCUUUUUCUGAACUUUCCUUCUUUCGUAACAAAAAUCGACAUGUAGCCUCUUACGCGUGCUCGGCAUAAACGAGCAUUUCCAAUUAUUAUAAUAAUAAUUAUAUAUUUAUGUUAUAUGUGCAAAUUAGUGUCGUGGGCCUAAAUUCGUGAAACGAGUACCAAACUCGCGAAGAGAUGACUCAAAAUGGAGUAAAAAUCAGGAAUAACGAAAUUCGAGGCUUCGUUCUUUGGAUUAUCGAGUUUGAAAAUUUAACAAUCUACAUGCGUAUUUUCCAGCUAAAAUAAAAAUAUAAUAAAAAAUAUAAAAUGUUA